UUUAUUCUAUCAUUUUCCCCGACACUUUACUGAUUAUCAAUAUCGUAAAAGAAGGAAUUUUGGUUUCAAAAUAAUAUCGACUCACUGGAUCUGGUUACAUACUGGUAUUGAUUCAAGAUAUCGUGAUGUGCGAAGUAUAUAGCCUUAAGCUCCGUACGGAAGAAGAAGAAUCGCAGCAAGAGGACAACACGAAUUAAGAAUAAUUUAGCAUAGCUUGUAGGCUAUGUGUUGACAAUUGCCGAUGUCGUUAAGGAUCGGAUAUAGCCAGUACUACUAUAGACUUGAGGAAUUCAACAGGGUUGUGGGAAACGAUAAAAAGUUCAGUGGGAUGUCAGUUCCUCUCCAAGUAGAGAAGUGGUUGAUGGUAAUUAAGAAUGAGUUCGAUGUUACGCAAGUAAUUAAGGAGAAGAAUAUUAGGCUUGCGUUAAGACUUGUAUCGAGACGUCUUACAUGUCCGGAAGUAAGAGCACAACAUCAAUGACCAGAGGGGCC